CUCACAGAAGCCAGACUCUGUUUGAAAUCUUAGAUUCGGAAAUCACAGAGAGAGAGAGAGAGAGAGAGAUCAGCAAUGGAGUGUUGUCUCCGUUUGCUUCUAUUUCUUUCUUUCUCUCUCUUAUUAUUCUCUGUGCGUCUGUGACUCUAUUCUUAUGUAUUCCUUUGUUAAAACUCAAAAGAUCGAGAUAAAGAUGCUUCACUUUGUUUGUUUGAUCCGUAGGGUGAUGGGGCAAAAGGGUUUUGCUUUUUGCCACGGUCAUGGAUUCUUGAACUGGUAGCCAAUAAACUGAUGGUUAUGCAUGAAGAAUGUUUGGAAGGGAAAUUUCAUUCUAUUGAAAGACUAAGGGAAGCCAAUCAGCAGAAAGUUGCUGUUCAUCAUGUCAGACAGGAACAAGUUGAGGAGACUUAUAUAAUGGUGAAACCUGAUGCUGUGCAACGUGGACUCGUAAACCUAUGUCAAAUUUGGUUGCUGAGAUAGGGUAAAAUUCUAAGACUACAUUGUUCGUGACCUGAGAAGACAAAAACCUCUAAUAAAGUGAGGCAUUGAACCUAAUUGCUUAUUUAGGUGAAGGGAAAUUUAUGUUUUCGUGAGAAUCAUUUGGCUUUCUGAGCUUAAGUUUAAUUGGAUAAAAGUUGCAACAGAA